GGUUUCCUUCUCGUUGGUCCCUUUGUAAAGACUGGGCCGCUGCGCAACACAGAGUAUGCUGGCGCAGCUGGGUCUCUAGCUGCGGGAGGGCUGGUGGUGAUCCUCAGCAUUGUUCUCACCAUGUACGGCGUGGCCUCGUUCAAGGAGGGGGAACCAUCGGUUGCGCCAUCACUGACACUGACCGGGAGGAAGAAGGUGGCUGACAAGCUGCAGACGGCGGAGGGUUGGGCGCAAUUCUCCGGCGGUUUCUUCUUUGGGGGCGUGUCUGGGGUUAUCUGGGCUUACUUCUUGCUCUACGGUCUUAACCUCCCAUACUUCGUCAAGUAGAGUUAUUUAAAUGAUUGUCUCAUGAGAGUUGUAAUUGUAUUUUCAGAAAGUUUGUAAUUAAACAGACUCUUAUCAGUAUCGAUUAUGCAAACACCUCUCGGUCUGUAUAUCUACAUCUUUAAUAAGUUUUC
rnacentral:misc_RNA from 1 species